CUCUUCGCCGUGGUGUCUCUCCGUCGGUCGUUCAAGGCGCAGUUCCGCGUACGUGUGUAUCUCGGGGCCCCGUCGUCCUCACCGAACACUGCCGCGUACGUAAAAAGGAACACGUGCAAACCACUAAGGACACAUCGGCGCGGCCCCAAACGCGUCGCUUCCGAUCCUGGGAAAUAUUGACGGGCUGAUGGCGAUCGGUUCUGCGAUCGUUCGCGGUGCUCGCUUGCGGGACAACUAGCUGCGGAAAAAUCCACGCCAACAGAAACGAUCGGGACGCACGGGUGCCACAGAGCCGCACCAAACUGCACUGCCCUCUCGUCCUCGUCUAGCCACAAAAACUCCUUGAGUGACAGUAAUGGUGGGGUACCGCGCUGGUCAAACGACCGUCUACGACUAUCUCCGAUUGAAACUUUCGCGUGUUUUUCUACCCUCUACGUCUCAAAACUGCUCUAAAAUCGGCUUUUCAAUGUCCACUGUAACGCGAGCUCGGUUUUUAUGCCGUUCGAAACAAUUGCAACGUAUGCUUGUCGUCGCUAAACUUGACCAUCCACGCGCAGCUGCGUCGGUAACGCAGGGCGCCUGGAGAAUUCUGGGACGGUUAGAGGGUAGUGUGGGAUUUCUUUGUUGGUCGGGCGAAUCUACGGAGGAAGAUUUGGAGAAUUUGGAGGAAAUAUUUUGGGUGAGAAGCGUUUGAACUGGAGGAGGGAUUGGCGCACCACGCUAAUCAAUGGAAUAAUGCGCGAUGAACUGAUAAACGACGCUGAAGUCCUUGUCCGAAAAUCCCUGCGAUAUAAGCGUCCUAAAGAUCUGAUGCGCUAUAGAUCCCAGGGGAAUGGUGGCGUCCACUUUAGCAGCGGCGGCCUGCGCCAGUCCCAGGUCCUUCGCCAUUAAAGUUGCACCGAAACCACCCUGCAAUGAAACCACAGCUAGCCACCGCGCUCUCUGACCGGCCAAGAAAAUCUGUCCGGCGAAGUUUGCCGCGGAAACCGGCGAAAUACAGAGGUUCGUUAAUAUUAGAAAGCCUAAGCGGCCGAGCUCGUACCUCGUAAUUCUUCGAGCUGGGAACGUUGUCGAGGAUCCCGGGAACGGGGUUGUAUAAUUCCGAGGACCAACACCUGCCGGAACUCGAGUUCACGAUGUCGGCCAACACCUUCGCGUCCAGACCCAGCCUGCAACGCGAUCAACGCUUAAUCAAACGGCUCCGAUCGAACCCGCGAUCUACGCGAUCGAUUCUUUCCGCGACUCGCCUUUCGCCGAAGUUGAACGCUUCCGCCGUGCCGAUCAUGCUGAUGCCCAGCAGCAUGUUGUUGCAAAUCUUCGCGGCCUGGCCCAUGCCUACGUCCCCGCAGUGAACCACCCUCGCGCCCAUCUUCGUCAACAGAGGCUUCGCUAAUUCCAGGUUCUCCUUCGAUCCUCCGACCAUGAUCGUCAACGUGCCGUCCUUGGCUGCGUUCACACCUGCGCGAAAGUUCAAGGUCGUAGCUUAGAUGGAUGUCUAGUUCGAAGAUAGUCGGAUUAAGGUGCCUUGUCAACCCUUUCCUUACGGCAGCUCGCUCCGCUGGAGUGACGCCACUGAACAGGGCGCCGCGCCGCGAUGUGUGCACUUUGCACGUCGGUAGUUUUCGAUGUUCGGACGGCGUCUUUCAACGCCACUUUGCGAUUGUCUUGUAUGUACACUUUUUUAAGAGCUACGU